GGCAGAGCGUGAGUGGAGGGGUGUGAGUUACGCAUUUCUGUGAUGUUAGAUUUCCUCUCCUCCCUGUCAUUCUCUUCCCCCUCCUCUAUUUUCUCUCUCUCUCUCUCUUUUUUUUUUUUUUAACAAUGAGUCUCUUAAUUUUGUCAUCAGAUAGAUGCACAAGGACAAUACAUAAAAAUAGAAAUAAUAUCUGGGAAGCAGUGGGCACGUUAUUGGCACACAGGAGUGGCGAUGGCUGUUCUUACUAUUUCUUCUCAUUUCUGGCAGGAAUGAAUCACUUAUUUCCAACGUUUCCUAAACAGGCAAUGGGCUCCUGGGCCCCGUCUUACUCGGGAGGGCCUUUCCUCUGUCCCAUCAUUCUGAGGGUUUCUGGAAGAUGGAGUCCUGCUCUGUUGCCCAGGCUGGAGUACAGUGGCACGAUCUCAGCUCACUGCAACCUCUGCCUCCCAGGUUCAAGCGAUUCUCCUGCCUCAGCCUCCUGAACAGCUACAAUUACAGCCUGAGAGGAAAGCCCCAUGUUAUCCCAAUUUCACAGAUGUGCAAACUGAGGCUUGAAGACACUCUGCAGCCUCCAAGGGCUGUUCUCUUCAUUCCUCCAACAGAGUGGGAAUGAGACGGUGCAGAGUCUGGAAUGUCUGGGCAGAAGGAAGAGCCGGAGCAAAGGCCUGGAGCUUGGAGGGCGCUGUCGGGGGGGGCGGGGGGCGGGGGCGGUGUCCCAUGGCGGGGUUUCGUCUCAGCUCUGCCAUGUCUUGGCUGCGUGACCUCUGGCACCCUACUGGGCCUCUUUGAUCCCAGACUACCUGUAGAAUGGGUGUGUGAGAAGAAAACCUUCUGGAGCGGGGUGUUGAGGAGAGAACAGUGCCUGGCACAUCAUAAUAAUAAUGCUGAAUAGAUGUUAUUUUCAUUUCUAACCACUUCCUCCAGGAAGCCCAUCCUGACCUCCUCUGGCUCCCGAGGUCACCUGGACUUGCCCCAUCACAGACCUUGCCACAGUGUGAGAAACGGCCUCAUCCACAUACCAGCUUCUCACCCCCACCCAGACCCUCUGAUUGGGACUCCCUUGAGGGCUGUGUCCCCAGAGCCCAGAAAGAGUCCAGCACAGAGCAGCUGAGGGGGUAGGUGCUGGUGAACAGUGCCACUGAGCCCCUGCUACUCACCAAGCCCUUCACACACGGUUCCUUCAUUUAGUGUCUUUCUUCUCCUAGAUAGAACCUUGGCUUUGCCAAGACCAGCAUAGUUGCUGCUCAAGAAAUAUGUGAGGAAAUUGUUGAGAUGAACCAGCACUCAGGGGAAGGGAGGCUUUCUGAGGACGGGGCCUUAGCAGGUGGAGCUCCUGGGAUAAUAAGAAAGAUGCCCGGAUGCGGUGGCUCAUACCUGGAAUCCCAGCACUUCGGGAGGCCAAGGCAGGCAGAUCACUUGAGGCCAGGAGUUCAAGACCAGCCUGGCCAACAUGAUGAAACCCCGUCUCUACUAAAAAUACAAAAAAUUAGCUGGGCAUGGUGGUGCGAGCCUGUAGUCCCAGCUUCUCGGGAGGCUGAGGCUGGAGGAUCAAUGACUGAACCCAGGAGGUGGAGGUUGUAGUGAGCUGAGAUUGCGCCUCUGCACUCCAGGCUGGGCAACAGAGUGAGACUCUGUCUCCAGAAAGAAAGACAACAAUAAUCAGUAGUCUUUACUCUGCUCCAGGCGCCAGGCUGAGUCUUCUCAGUUCCUCUCCCCAGCAGGUUAGUUCUAUUAUUGUUUCCAUUUCACAGAUGGGAAAAUCAAGGCACAGGGAGGUGAGGUGGGUUACUCCAGGUCACACAGUCAGUGAGAGGAAGAGCCAGGAUCAAAGCCAAGCCUGUUUGACUGAGGAGCCUGCCCUGAGACCUUAACCACACACCAAGCCCUCCCUAGAAGGAAGAUGCCGCUACUGGAUACAUUUUGCAGGUGGAAACCAAGGCUCUGAGAGUCAGAAUGGCCUGCCCAUGUCUGGACACAGAAACUGAGGUUGAGCAGGAGAUGCUCGAGGCGGGGUUCCUGUCUCCUAGGCCAGCACCCUGAAGGAGGGGUGGGAGACCGCCUCCCACGCCCCAAGCUGUCCCCUGCUUAUUGGAGUUUCUGGUCAAUACCCUGGCCUCUGUUACCCAGCCCAGCACCCAACACACUGCCUCUUCCGCCUGCCUGGAGUCUCGGGUCUCGGGUGCCUUCACAAUCGGAUUCUCUGUCUCCGCAGCUGCUUUCCAUUUGAGCUCUUUGUGCUGAAAAUAAAAAAAAAAUGAAAAGAAAACUUGGCACCGCCCCUCUGCUUUGCUUCCUGGGGAGGAAGGAGGAUCCCAGCUACUUCUUUCCCUCAUUCUGGGGCCCAGAGAUACCCACAGCCUGCCCAAGGUCACACAGCAGGGUCGGAGCCAGGACCCUGGCCUUAGACUCCCCUUCCAGUGCUCUACCCCCUCUGGCCACUGCCUCUGCUAUUCCUGGCUCUUCCUCUAGGCCCGUGAGGAGCAGAUGAAUUAGGAUGAAUGUUCCUGCA